UACGUAGGGUGCGAGCGUUGUCCGGAAUUAUUGGGCGUAAAGAGCUCGUAGGCGGCUUGUCGCGUCGGAUGUGAAAGCCCGGGGCUUAACUCCGGGUCCGCAUUCGAUACGGGCAGGCUAGAGUUCGGUAGGGGAGAUCGGAAUUCCUGGUGUAGCGGUGAAAUGCGCAGAUAUCAGGAGGAACACCGGUGGCGAAGGCGGAUCUCUGGGCCGAUACUGACGCUGAGACCCGAAAGCCAGGGUAGCGAACCGG
rnacentral:rRNA from 1 species